UACGGGGGGAGCAAGCGUUGUUCGGAAUUACUGGGCGUAAAGGGCGCGUAGGCGGCUUGAUAAGCGUGCGGUGAAAGCCCGGGGCUCAACCCCGGGUCGGCCGUGCGAACUGUCGAGCUGGAGCACUGUAGAGGCAGGUGGAAUUCCGGGUGUAGCGGUGGAAUGCGUAGAGAUCCGGAAGAACACCGGUGGCGAAGGCGGCCUGCUGGGCAGUGGCUGACGCUGAGGCGCGACAGCGUGGGGAGCAAACAGG
rnacentral:rRNA from 1 species